rnacentral:lncRNA from 10 species
GUUUGUCUGACAGGCGCUAGGACCCAGGAGGCAAGGGUCAGGAUAAAUAGGAUAGAUGGGCGAGUCUCGCUUGGGCGACAAGGCUUUGAGAGUUCUGCUCAUGGCUGCAGGGUCAACCAACUUGUUUUCGGGACCCUGGAGCUGAAUGACUUCCCUCUCUGUUGAUGCUCGGCUCAGCCCAGAAGUACAUGAAAAGUGGAAGCUGGUUCUAGGCAAACCAAUGCUGCCAGCUCUGAAGAGUCAGGGGUUGUUAGCCCUUUCCCAGAAAGCUUGACACCCGUGUCUGUAGUCCAGUGGCCACACUAGUCGCUUUCAACUGGCUGACAGGUGCAGGUAUUUAGCCCCCAAAUUCUAAGGAAAAAUAGGACAGAAUAGCAAGCGAAAGGGGUCUGAUGGUACUCACUGCUUGGAGAUAGGCGAUAACCCCUUCGUGGUUGCCAAAAUGUGUCCGGAAUUGGUUCCUUCUGGUGGGUUCUUGGACUCACUGACUUCAAGCAUGAAGCCACAGACCCUUGAGACCUACAGGAGGAGUGUGCAGGUGAUAAUCCAGAGGAGGAAGUGUCAUCUAUCAAGGUGGAGUUCACAGCCAAAAAACACCGUACGUAUUCUAAGAGCACUCCCUUGCUGACAACAAAUCUAAGUGAUGAGAAAGGAGGAACUCUCUUGCCUGCUUUUGUCUGGAGACCCUUCCUGGCUUCAGCUUCCUGAUAGGAGUGAGGAUCUGGGGUGUGGUGUGAGAAACAGAAGUCCCAAUAAAGAACUAUGACCAUCCACUAUAGUCUCUGGAAACAGCCAUAUCAUUUAGAUGGUGUGGGUUUGUAUGCAGGAGGGUUGGGAAGUAACUAAGGGUGAGUUAAUGUGUGGUGAUUGUGAAUGUGUUUGUCAAUGUGUGUGUUUCCCCCAGGAAAUGUGGACCCACAUGCACAGCACAGUACAAGUGUCACUUUUCUUGAAUUCCUG